UGGGGAAUUUUGGACAAUGGGCGCAAGCCUGAUCCAGCCAUGCCGCGUGCGGGAAGAAGGCCUUCGGGUUGUAAACCGCUUUUGUCAGGGAAGAAAUCUUCUGAGUUAAUACCUCGGGAGGAUGACGGUACCUGAAGAAUAAGCACCGGCUAACUACGUGCCAGCAGCCGCGGUAAUACGUAGGGUGCAAGCGUUAAUCGGAAUUACUGGGCGUAAAGCGUGCGCAGGCGGUUUUGUAAGACAGAGGUGAAAUCCCCGGGCUCAACCUGGGAACUGCCUUUGUGACUGCAAGGCUUGAGUGCGGCAGAGGGGGAUGGAAUUCCGCGUGUAGCAGUGAAAUGCGUAGAUAUGCGGAGGAACACCGAUGGCGAAGGCAAUCCCCUGGGCCUGCACUGACGCUCAUGCACGAAAGCGUGGGGAGCAAAA
rnacentral:rRNA from 1 species